ACUUAGAUAUGUAUAAUUCCCAAGCUUUCUUCAUCACAGCACACCGUCUUCUGGGCGUCUGGUACCUUCAUCCAGCCCUAGUUGCCAUAUGGAACAUGCUCUCCUCCUGUUAACUGAUCAAUCAGAUGACAAAAGAAUGAGUGAAGGAAUUUCCACCACAAACCCAAAGACAUCUUGGUAUAUCCAAAGGACGGGAGAGAGAAAUAAAAAUUUCACUGUGAUUUUUAAGUAAUGUUUUAUUCUAUUAUGCUUUGCAGCUAACAAUCGAAGCACUUUUGUGUAAUAUCUCAUCUGGCCAUUGUAAGGAUCAAGUGAGGGAGAGGAGAGGGCAGAUGUUAUGAAGCUCAUUUUACAGUGGAAGAAACUGAGGCCCAGAACGCAUCAAGAGGCACACAGCAAUAUGACUGGAGUCGGAAAGAGGCAUCGGAAUGAUUCAAAACUCUGGUUCUGCCCUAGAGUGACUUCAAGCUGAAGACAUUCUAACUCAGAGGGCCUCAGCUGCAGAACCAACUGGACUCCAGUUGCAGACCAGUGAGGAUGAUGAGGACCUGGGAGGACCGCAUUUUCUGGGAGAAGCCCUGGAAUACAAGAUUUAAUAUACUUAAAGGGAGCUCACAUUCUCAUCAACCUGGAGCAACACACCUGGGAAUGUCUGAGUUGGCCUCAAAGUCUCAGCCAAAUCCAGACCUAUCUAAGGAAUGUGGAAGCUGAAACCAACUUCACCUGGAUCUUUGCCUCGUGGCUCAACUGGGCGAUUCUUCUGCUUCAAGUCGUGUCAACUGGGAGACGUGGACACAAAAAAAUACUUGAAACUUUAUAUAAUAAAAGGUAAUGCAAAAUGAUAGAGUCACUUUUAUUUCCUUUUAUUAAGGGAACAGAUUUAUUUUUGCUUCCAUUUAAGAUAUGGAGUUCAUUUCUUCUCUUGAAUAUUACAAACAAGAUAGAACUUUUGGUCCCAUGAAAUUCACUAAUGUAAUUACUUGAAAAAACGAUGCAUUUUAGAAAUAUCGAUUGGUGACACACUUAAACAACUUCCAUGGAAAACUGCCUUACUUCAAGUCUUUCUCAGAGCCUAUGGACAAAUAAUGAAAACAAGUUUGGGACCGUAUGUGGUGGCUCACGUCUGUAAUCCCAGCACUUUGGGAGGGCGAUGCAGGCGGAUCACCUGCGGUCAGGAGUUUGAGACCAGCCUGGUCAAUAUGAUGAAACCCC
rnacentral:lncRNA from 1 species